rnacentral:rRNA from 1 species
GUCCUCUAGAAUAUAAUUUGAGGUUUAACCUGCCCACUGAAAUUUUAAAUGGCCGCAGUAAUUUGACUGUGCAAAGGUAGCAUAAUCAUUAGUUUUUUAAUUAAAAGCUUGUAUGAAGGGUUGGACGAAGUAAAAUCUGUCUCUAUUUAAUUAAAAUUAGAAUUUAAUUUUUAAGUUAAAAAGCUUAAAUUUUAUUAAAAGACGAGAAGACCCUAUAGAUCUUUAUAUUAUUUAUAAUAAUUUUAUUUAAGAAUAAUUUAUUUUUUAUUAUAAAUAUUAUUUUAUUGGGGUAAUAAAAAGAUUAAAUUAAUUCUUUAUUUUUAUACAUUGAUUUAUGAUUAUAUGAUCCAAUUUUUUUGAUUAAAAGAUUAAGUUACCUUAGGGAUAACAGCGUAAUUUUUUUAGAGAGUUCAUAUCGAUAAAAAAGUUUGCGA